rnacentral:rRNA from 1 species
AACGCUAGCUACAGGCUUAACACAUGCAAGUCGAGGGGUAGCAGGAUCUAGCAAUAGAUUGCUGACGACCGGCGCACGGGUGAGUAACACGUAUCCAACCUUCCGUUUACUCGGGGAUAGCCUUUCGAAAGAAAGAUUAAUACCCGAUAGUAUGUUUUUCCCGCAUGGGAGAACCAUUAAAGUUUUUCGGUAAUCGAUGGGGAUGCGUUCCAUUAGGCAGUUGGUGAGGUAACGGCUCACCAAACCUUCGAUGGAUAGGGGUUCUGAGAGGAAGGUCCCCCACAUUGGAACUGAGACACGGUCCAAACUCCUACGGGAGGCAGCAGUGAGGAAUAUUGGUCAAUGGACGAGAGUCUGAACCAGCCAAGUAGCGUGAAGGAUGACUGCCCUAUGGGUUGUAAACUUCUUUUAUAUGGGAAUAAAGGAGCCUACGUGUAGGUUUUUGUAUGUACCAUACGAAUAAGGAUCGGCUAACUCCGUGCCAGCAGCCGCGGUAAUACGGAGGAUCCAAGCGUUAUCCGGAUUUAUUGGGUUUAAAGGGAGCGUAGGUGGAGGCUUAAGUCAGUUGUGAAAGUUUGCGGCUCAACCGUAAAAUUGCAGUUGAUACUGGGUUUCUUGAGUACAGUAGAGGUGGGCGGAAUUCGUGGUGUAGCGGUGAAAUGCUUAGAUAUCACGAAGAACUCCGAUUG